CCCCCAACCCUUCGCCUUCUCGCUGCCUCUGCCCCCGAUUCCGUCCCCCCUUCAUCCCUCCCUCCACCCCCAUCGGUUUAUUGAUCUCUUGUUACGUUGUUCUUCGAGAUCUUGAUCGCGACCGUGAACGGAUGGAUGCUCUGCGGGACUCUUGGCUGAUGCGGAGCUAUUGUGACGACCUUUAUGGUGUGCUAUGCUCUUACAUCAUUCAUUUCAGGCUAUUUAAGUGGUGGACUUUAUGCACGGAAUUGG